UGCAGAGGGGGCAAGCGUUGUUCGGAAUUACUGGGCGUAAAGGGCGCGUAGGCGGCCUGCUAAGUCGAACGUGAAAUCCCUGGGCUCAACCCAGGAACUGCGUCCGAUACUGGUUGGCUUGAAUCCGGGAGAGGGACGUGGAAUUCCAGGUGUAGCGGUGAAAUGCGUAGAUAUCUGGAGGAACACCGGUGGCGAAGGCGACGUCCUGGACCGGCAUUGACGCUGAGGCGCGAAAGCCAGGGGA
rnacentral:rRNA from 1 species